GACUCUGUGGCGCAAUGGAGAGCGCGUUGGACUUCUAAGUGAGCGCUUGAAGAAGUGAUUCAAAGGUUGUGGGUUCGAGUCCCGCCAGAGUUG
rnacentral:tRNA from 1 species